rnacentral:lncRNA from 12 species
ACGUGCAUUACAAGAAUGCAAAAAGACUGGCAAAAAUUUACACUGCUUCUAAAGCUUCUCCUUGUGUAUCACACCCAAGCUGCUCAUAUUUCAUUGACUAAAACAAGUCACAUACAGAAAUCCAAAGUCGGGGGUCUGGAAAAGUCUACUCUGCAAGUUAACAAUGGCAAGGAGAGCAGCAGACAAACAACUCUGAAUAAAUCUUACACACUGAGGUCAAAUUCUUCAUAGAACUUCAUACAUUUAUUGGUACAGGCCCGGGCCUUCAGAACUUCAUGCUGAAAUGGGGCUCCUGGGGACACAUAGGAGAAGGCGGGCUGCCUCUAGGAGGAUGCAACGUGAGGAUUCCACGUGACUGUCGAUCUCUGGAGUUGUGCCCCUAAGGAAGAGGAGCGGAUCCUGUGCAGGGCAGGAUGGAGUGUGAAGGUAGUCAGAAAUCAGUACUUAUAUAUGUUGGCAAAUUGAACACCGAUAAAAAAUAAAUUUAUUAAAAAAAAAAAAAGAAAUCA